GAGUUUGAUCGUGGCUCAGAGCGAACGCUGGCGGCAGGCCUAACACAUGCAAGUCGAGCGCCCCGCAAGGGGAGCGGCAGACGGGAGAGUAACACGUGGGAACGUACCCUUCAGUUCGGAACAACCAAGGGAAACUUUGGCUAAUACCGAAUACGUCCGUAAGGAGAAAGAUUUAUCGCUGAAGGAUCGGCCCGCGUCUGAUUAGCUAGUUGGUGAGGUAACGGCUCACCAAGGCGACGAUCAGUAGCUGGUCUGAGAGGAUGAUCAGCCUCACUGGGACUGAGACACGGCCCAGACUCCUACGGGAGGCAGCAGUGGGGAAUAUUGGACAAUGGGCGCAAGCCUGAUCCAGCCAUGCCGCGUGGAUGAUGAAGGCCCUAGGGUUGUAAAGUCCUUUCGGCGGGGAAGAUAAUGACGGUACCCGCAGAAGAAGCCCCGGCUAACUUCGUGCCAGCAGCCGCCGCAGUAAG
rnacentral:rRNA from 1 species